rnacentral:rRNA from 1 species
UACGUAGGAGACGAGCGUUGUCCGGAGUUACUGGGCGUAAAGGGUGCGCAGGUGGCGGCGCGCGUGGGGGGUGAAAUCGCCCGGCUUAACUGGGCGGGGGCCUUCCAGACGGCGUGGCUUGAGCAGCGGAGGGGGACGUGGAAUUCCGGGUGGAGCGGUGAAAUGCGUAGAUAUCAGGAGGAACACCGGUGGUGUAGACGGCUAUCUGGACCGUAACUGACGCUGAGGCACGAAAGCGUGGGUAGCAAACAGG